GAUGAACGCUGGCGGCGUGCUUAACACAUGCAAGUCGAACGAUGAAGCAGGAGCUUGCUCUUGUGGAUCAGUGGCGAACGGGUGAGUAACACGUGAGCAACCUGCCCCUGACUCUGGGAUAAGCGCUGGAAACGGCGUCUAAUACUGGAUAUGUGAUGUGACCGCAUGGUCUGCAUCUGGAAAGAAUUUCGGUUGGGGAUGGGCUCGGCGGCCUAUCAGCUUGUUGGUGAGGUAAUGGCUCACCAAGGCGUCGACGGGUAGCCGGCCUGAGAGGUUGACCGGCCACGCUGGGACUGAGACACGGCCCAGACUCCUACGGGAGGCAGCAGUGGGGAAUAUUGCACAAUGGGCGGAAGCCUGAUGCAGCAACGCCGCGUGAGGGAUGACGGCCUUCGGGUUGUAAACCUCUUUUAGCAGGGAAGAAGCGAAAGUGACGGUACCUGCAGGAAAAGCACCGGCUAACUACGUGCCAGCCGCCGCGGUAA
rnacentral:rRNA from 1 species